UACGUAGGGUGCAAGCGUUGUCCGGAAUUAUUGGGCGUAAAGAGCUUGUAGGCGGUCUGUCGCGUCUGCUGUGAAAAUCCGGGGCUCAACCCCGGACUUGCAGUGGGUACGGGCAGACUAGAGUGUGGUAGGGGAGACUGGAAUUCCUGGUGUAGCGGUGAAAUGCGCAGAUAUCAGGAGGAACACCGAUGGCGAAGGCAGAUCUCUGGGCCGUAACUGACGCUGAGGAGCGAAAGCGUGGGGAGCGAACAGG
rnacentral:rRNA from 1 species